CCUGAGUCAGUCAAAGUGCUUAGUGCUGGAAGAUAUUGUGGAGGGAUUCUCUUCUGUACACUUCAAGAUGGAGAACAAAAAUAAGCCUAAAGAUUCAUUCAGAAGAUUGUCUCACGUAUUCUCCCUUUAUUGCGUGUUUGGACCAGCCUGAACGCUAUUCCAGCCCUCUGUACAGCCUGAGCAGAAGUCCAUUUGCUGCUGUGCCAGAGAAAACUUCUCAACGGUCUUCUGCUGACAGACAUGAGAGAUGA
rnacentral:lncRNA from 1 species